GACGAACGCUGGCGGCGUGCCUAAUACAUGCAAGUUGAGCGCUGAAGGUUGGUACUUGUACCAACUGGAUGAGCAGCGAACGGGUGAGUAACGCGUGGGGAAUCUGCCUUUGAGCGGGGGACAACAUUUGGAAACGAAUGCUAAUACCGCAUAAAAACUUUAAACACAAGUUUUAAGUUUGAAAGAUGCAAUUGCAUCACUCAAAGAUGAUCCCGCGUUGUAUUAGGUAGUUGGUGAGGUAAAGGCUCACCAAGGCGAUGAUACAUAGCCGACCUGAGAGGGUGGUCGGCCACAUUGGGACUGAGACACGGCCCAAACUCCUACGGGAGGCAGCAGUAGGGAAUCUUCGGCAAUGGACGAAAGUCUGACCGAGCAACGCCGCGGGAGUGAAGAAGGUUGUCGGAUCGUAAAACUCUGUUGGUAGAGAAGAACGUUGGUGAGAGUGGAAAGCUCAGCAAGUGACGGUAACUACACAGAAAGGGACGGCUAACUACGUG
rnacentral:rRNA from 1 species